UGUAGCAAUCCCUAAUUGAAGACGAUAUUUCCAAAUAAAAUGAGCAGUCCUGUUAUGAACUGGAGAAAUCUGGUUAUACUGGCAGUUCUCUUCAAGUUCGGAGAUAAUGCUUGUUCAAAACAAAAGAGGGAGGAGCCGAGAGGAUACUCUGGCGAUGAUUAUAUUGUGGGAGGAAAUGAUGCUUUAUCCAACGCAUAUCCAUGGAUGGUUUAUCUAUUAAUAGGAGGCAAGCAACAGUGUGGAGGUUCUUUAAUUUCAAGACAUGUUGUUCUCACUGCAGCCCAUUGUACGGACAAGAAUGAAGAUAUAAAGGCCUAUAUUGGAAGCAAUAUAAAAAAAGAGGGGCAAGAGUACAUUGUUAGCCUAAAACUCAACCAUCCAGGGUUUGAUAGAAACAAAAAAGUGCAUUAUGCAAGUUAUGAUAUUUCGCUGCUCUAUCUGAAGGAAAAGGUCCUUACAGCUUUUCCAAUUCCCCUUAUUAACCCUGAAUUUCAGCUACCAACAGGAACAACUGUGAGAGCCCUAGGAUGGGGUAGAAUAGCAUAUGAUAUAAAAGGAGGAUCUAAACUGUUACAAGAGGUGGAUCUGCUUGUUUCACCAUGCACAAUUUCUGAGAAGCAACUAGUUACGGAAACUGCUUUUUGUACCAGAACUCCAAACAAGGAUACAUGCAGUGGUGAUUCUGGUAGUCCAGUAGUCAUCUUUGAAAAUGGGAAAUAUUUUCAGAUUGCGAGGUUGGACUUACAAGUAUAGGACAAGCCAAAUGUGCUGUUGAUCAGAAUUCAUUAUAUACAGAUCUUCGUAUCCUAGGAAAAUGGGUGAGAGACAAUUUGCAGGUAA
rnacentral:misc_RNA from 1 species